UAUUUUAUUAACUGCUAAGUCAUGCAAAGACUGAAAGAGACUAUUAUCAGACUGGCAGGCUAGACGCAAUUACAACAAUUUAUUUUUUUGUUUAAGAAGUUAUUUAGUUAUGACGUUGUUGAGAGGUAAAAUAAUAUAAAAUGUAAAAAUAUACAAUUUUAAAAAUUUAUACUAUCAAUGAUCAAAUAUAAAUAAUAAUUUUCGUGCGUUUGGAGGAUCGUAUGGAAAUCUUUUCAAGGCGCACUCCAAAGAAAAUGUGAACAGCUGAUUUCGUUUAUUUAAAAUUAUAGUGAAACUCAAUGUGUAUAUUUUUAAUUGCGGAUUUUUUUGAAAAUUAAGCUUCAAACUCAGUGCUAAAAGUCUUUGUUUAUAAAAGUGGUGGAAGAUAAAGGU